rnacentral:lncRNA from 1 species
GAAAUGUUAGAUGACUUCACAUCUAUUCAGUGCACUGAAUUAGUAAUUUAGUUUCUAAUGGGCCGGUGAAUAUUUCCUGUAAAACUAAGACUGUAUCUUUAAGGAUUUUUCCCCCUUUCUUAUAAGACCGCAUCUUAAAGGACUUUUUUCCCUUCCGUUGUAGAGACCUUGUACACAGACAGACGGCUAGUGCAGUGGUACAGCACAUGUCACUUGGGGUUUAUGGAUUUGGUUGUGAAGAUUCGCUGAAUCACUUGUUGAACUAUGUAUGGCCCAAUGUAUUUGAGACAUCUCCUCAUGUAAUUCAGGCAGUUAUGGGAGCCCUAGAGGGCCUGAGAGUUGCUAUUGGACCAUGUAGAAUGUUGCAAUAUUGUUUACAGGGUCUGUUUCACCCAGCCCGGAAAGUCAGAGAUGUAUAUUGGAAAAUUUACAACUCCAUCUACAUUGGUUCCCAGGACGCUCUCAUAGCACAUUACCCAAGAAUCUACAACGAUGAUAAGAACACCUAUAUUCGUUAUGAACUUGACUAUAUCUUAUAAUUUUAUUGUUUAUUUUGUGUUUAAUGCACAGCUACUUCACACCUUAAA